rnacentral:rRNA from 1 species
GCAUAUCAAUAAGCGGAGGAAAAGAAACUAACAAGGAUUCCCCUAGUAACGGCGAGUGAAGCGGGAAGAGCUCAAAUUUGAAAUCUGGUAGCCUUCGGCUGCCCGAGUUGUAAUCUAGAGAAGUGUUUUCCGUGCCGGCCCAUGUACAAGUCCCUUGGAACAGGGCGUCAUAGAGGGUGAGAAUCCCGUCCUUGACAUGGACCCCCGGUGCUUUGUGAUACACUUUCAACGAGUCGAGUUGUUUGGGAAUGCAGCUCAAAAUGGGUGGUGAAUUCCAUCUAAAGCUAAAUAUUGGCGAGAGACCGAUAGCGAACAAGUACCGUGAGGGAAAGAUGAAAAGCACUUUGGAAAGAGAGUUAAACAGUACGUGAAAUUGUUGAAAGGGAAACGAUUGAAGUCAGUCAUGCUCUUUGGAUUCAGCCGUUCUGCGGUGUAUUUCCAUUGAGUGGGGUCAACAUCAGUUUUGACCGCUGGAUAAAGGCACUAGGAAGGUAGCACUCUCGGGUGAACUUAUAGCCUAGCGUCAUAUACAGUGGUUGGGACUGAGGAACGCAGCAUGCCUUUAUGGCCGGGAUUCGUCCACGUACAUGCUUAGGAUGUUGACAUAAUGGCUUUAAACGACCCGUCUGAACCCGUCUUGAAACACGGACC